rnacentral:rRNA from 10 species
UCGGUGAGGCCUUCGGACUGGCCCAGGGAGGUCGGCAACGACCACCCAGGGCCGGAAAGUUGGUCAAACCCGGUCAUUUAGAGGAAGUAAAAGUCGUAACAAGGUCUCCGUAGGUGAACCUGCGGAGGGAUCAUU